rnacentral:lncRNA from 1 species
GAAGAUGAGUGGGUCCCUCUGCACAGGGCCAGGAGCAAGCCUGGAGGCAUCAGCGGGUCUGUACCAUGUUGUGUUCCUUAGAAAAUGACUCUGUGCUGUCCCAGAUGUUACAGUCAAAGCAAAAACACCAUUUGGAAAAGGCAACGCUUUCCUCGUGCAGCAAGGAGACAGCUGAGCACUGUUUAUAGAUGCAUUUAAUCAGCCCAAAAUGAGUUUCACGGAGGAGGCAAUAGACAACCUAAUUAGUGACUUGUCUGUGGUCUAACCAGCCAGGUCAGGGAAGGGCACCUAAAGAGAAGUGAUAGAUCCUGCAAAGGGGCCCCACCUCCGCAGGAUUAAUGAAAACCCUUCCCCAAAUAAGAAUAUUCUCGAGCAGUGAGAGGAUGGAGAAUUUUUUUCAACGAGUGAAGGUGAAAUACAAAGGGAAAUAGCGGACAAGCUUUUUUUUUAAUGUGCAAAUGAUACCAGUGCAACGGAGAAGUGUACAGGAAAAGAAAUAGUUUUGCAUAAAUGCCUCUCUCUCAGUAGAUAUUGCAAAGGAAUGCAAACGCAAAAUGAGCUUGAGCGUACUUAAAGGGCAGUGAUCUGAUGAAGAUGAGAAGUGCAGAGUUAAUGUUCUCUCCUGGAUUUCUUCACAAAGUUACUGAGUAAGUUUUCCCCAGCCUGCUUCAUAUCCCUGCAAAUGAGAAGAAGGGAAUUUGUGGCUGCAGUGAGGUGGUGGAUGUUGGCAUUGCACUGAGCACCACUCUCCGCCACAUUUGGGCUCUUGGGGAAGUUUUUGGGACCUCGAGCAGACAGCAAUCUUCAGCCUGAGGUAUGUCAGACCAUGUGAUUUAAUGGGCACUAAAACCAGGGAGCUGAUGGAUUUUUCUAUGUAGCCAAAGGCUCUGCAAAGGUGGCAGAGCAGAGAUACAGAGGACAUGUGGUGAUGGAGGAGACCCAGCCCUGACCAGGAGAUCCCCAUCCCCGUGCUGUUCUCAUGUCCCCAACGUCUCCAUAGCCAAGCUGGAACUGGAUGGAGCCGUCAGCAAGAAUUAUUCCCACGUACCUGUGGUAUGAAAGGCCUUUGUGUUAUGGUUGUGCAUAAAUAGUUACUGUAAAAAAAAAAAUAAUGUUAUUUUAAAUCCAAAAACUGUCACAUUUCCUUCCUAAAUGAUAACUAAAUCCAUACAGCACCUGAAGAGGUUUUCUAUCUCUUUCAAUUUAAAGCUUCAUUUGUGACAAAAGAGCAUUAAAAUAGGAAAACAUUCUUUUAAAGAGAGAUAGCUCUAAUAUUUGAUAACUUAUAAAAGUUAAUAUAUGUUUAUAUUAUCUGAUACAUAUGA